GACGAACGCUGGCGGCGUGCUUAACACAUGCAAGUCGAACGGAAAGGCCCUGCUUUUGUGGGGUGCUCGAGUGGCGAACGGGUGAGUAACACGUGAGUAACCUGCCCUUGACUUUGGGAUAACUUCAGGAAACUGGGGCUAAUACCGGAUAGGAGCUCCUGCUGCAUGGUGGGGGUUGGAAAGUUUCGGCGGUUGGGGAUGGACUCGCGGCUUAUCAGCUUGUUGGUGGGGUAGUGGCUUACCAAGGCUUUGACGGGUAGCCGGCCUGAGAGGGUGACCGGCCACAUUGGGACUGAGAGAGGGCCCAGACUCCUACGGGAGGCAGCAGUGGGGAAUAUUGCACAAUGGGCGGAAGCCUGAUGCAGCAGCGCCGCGUGCGGGAUGACGGCCUUCGGGUUGUAAACCGCUUUCGCCUGUGACGAAGCGUGAGUGACGGUAAUGGGUAAAGAAGCACCGGCUAACUACGUG
rnacentral:rRNA from 1 species